GAUGAACGCUGGCGGCGUGCCUAAUACAUGCAAGUCGAGCGAACAGACGAGGAGCUUGCUCCUCUGACGUUAGCGGCGGACGGGUGAGUAACACGUGGAUAACCUACCUAUAAGACUGGGAUAACUUCGGGAAACCGGAGCUAAUACCGGAUAAUAUAUUGAACCGCAUGGUUCAAUAGUGAAAGACGGUUUUGCUGUCACUUAUAGAUGGAUCCGCGCCGCAUUAGCUAGUUGGUAAGGUAACGGCUUACCAAGGCGACGAUGCGUAGCCGACCGGAGAGGGUGAUCGGCCACACUGGAACUGAGACACGGUCCAGACUCCUACGGGAGGCAGCAGUAGGGAAUCUUCCGCAAUGGGCGAAAGCCUGACGGAGCAACGCCGCGUGAGUGAUGAAGGUCUUCGGAUCGUAAAACUCUGUUAUUAGGGAAGAACAAAUGUGUAAGUAACUAUGCACGUCUUGACGGUACCUAAUCAGAAAGCCACGGCUAACUACGUG
rnacentral:rRNA from 1 species